GUGUAUUUUGCAGGUUCCUAAUAAGUACUUCGAUUUCAAAUCCUGUCCAAAUGCAACCACUUCCAAUCCUGUUCUGUUGUUGCGAAAUACCUUAAUUUCUCCCAAACGCAAUGUGUUAGCUUCCCUGACUACAGGCUAUUUUAAUUAGCGAAAGGCGGAAUCGCAUACAUUUUUGAGAUAUCGAUCAUUUUUUUGACCAAGAUAGCCCAACACGCACAAAAACGAUGAAUGCUUUAUAUAACGAUAUCAGUGAUAAACCGACUGCUCCAGCUAUUUACAAAACUAUUUAUUAGGCACAGCUAUGGAUUAUUUUAAUGAAAUGUACGUGGCAAGGAAACGGACAAGCACAACUUUUCAACUUCUACCCAUCUGCACCCGCCCUCGAAGACGCUUAAGAUCUGCUUUCUGUUAUGGAUCUGCAGGCCACAAGAGGGCAAUCUGAGCUGCUUAUGUUCCAGGCUUAUGCGAAAGGAGACCACGAGGAAAACAAGCUCUUGGUUUCUUCUGCGUUCAGAUCGCGGGGUUUUGCUUAUCAUGCCUGUCCCUGGCAUUCUGGAUGUUUCUCAGUAUGCGUACUCGACCGUACCUGUACUCUGCUGUACCUGUACUCUGCUGUACCUGUACUCUGCUGUACCUGUACUCGACCGUACCUGUACUCUGCUGUACCUGUACUCGACCGUACCUGUACUCUGCUGUACCUGUACUCGACCGUACCUGUACUCUGCUGUACCUGUACUCUGCUGUACCUGUACUCUGCUGUACCUGUACUCGACCGUACCUGUACUCUGCUGUACCUGUAUUACCUCAUCUUCCAUUGCCGAGGACCAGUUCCAAUGCUAAUAACACAAGUACAGAGGAUGGUAAAAAUCGCAGGAUGUCGUUCUUGCCUCGCUCCAAAUAUCAAAGAUACAUCGGAUGCAUCCUCACCAAGUGAGACCAAUCCCAUGAGUCAUUGCAGCCCAAGUUCAUUCUCGGGUGGCAAGUUAGCAAGAUCGGUCUUGCCAAGAACACAGGUACGAUCUUCGCGUUCCCGGUAUUGAGAAACACCCUCCGCUUUUCCAGGAUUUGCUGAUUCCAGCUCUCCCUGUUCUCCAGACCACUUUACUGUCUGCCAAUAGUCUCAUCCUGGUCCCCUGACAAAAUGCUUCCUGGUUCUACUCUAGUCUCACUUCCAGCUCUCACCACCAGAGAGCUGUGCACUUCCAUUAGUCACUUUGAACUAAGUCCAAGUGGUGGGCUGGCCAAAUGUGAUCGCUGACCUCAUGUGAGUUUACCUCACUACCCUUGUUUUGUGUUCCUUAGUCUGUUAUCCAUGCAACAUAUCCAGCACAUGGCCAUGUUGAGUCUACAGCCUAUCCCAGAAAGCAUGGCACAAGGCAGGGCACACCCCAAACAGGAUCUUAGUACUUGAUCUGAAUACAUUCCUCGAGCAUAUGUUUGGAAGAAUUGAUUUGCAUCUCUGAAAAGAUAAAACCAAGUCUGUCUGCAAAACAAGUUAUAGAAAUAAAAAUAGGCACAUUUAAAUAAGCUGUAGAACUGGAUAAUUAAUUUUAUUCCUAUCCAUUUACAGAAAAAAAAAAAAUCAGACAGUAGGGUAUUAACCGUUUACAAAUGGACCAAAACUUUUGUUUGCCUUACUUGCUCUCUUAUGUGUCCCACCUGUCAUCCUCCACUGUGCAUUACAGUCAGGUAUCUUGCGUUCUCUAUUUUUCCCAUCAGUCUUUGCAAACAAAUAUUUUACAUGGACUUUGGACGGACUGGAUUCACACUUUAUUUCAUGGAUUAGAUUGAAGUGAAACUUUUACUAUGAAGCAUUGCUUAUCCUUCUGAUUCAUUAACAGCUGACUCAGUGCUAUGAUGUAAUCAGGCAUUACAUAUUUAUCAUUAAAUAACUGGUGACACUUUACAUUAACUGCGCGUUCAUAAUGCAUUCAUAAAACAUUCAUAAACAACAUUUAAGUAUGCAUUAACUAACAUACCUUAACAGCUUUAGUAUACAAUACAUUAAUAACACUGAAUAUUCUAUGAAUGCAUCAUGAAGGUGCAGUUGAUGUAAAGUGUUACCCAAUACUACAUGGAUUUCUUAUGCUCAGUUACCCUCCUGAGUGUGAUUUUUACAGGUACACAGUUUAGGGGACUCACACGUUCAUCUUUUUAUUUAACGAAUAAGGCUGAGGCAUCAUUGAGAUUCAACAUGGCUUCUAGUCAGUCGUGCUCGAAGUAUGUUAGUCUUACCUCUUGUCCCUGCCCUCUUCUUAACCAGCGACAGCUGCCUUGUGUUUACUUCUCUGUUAGUCAUGUAAAUUAGCAUGUCUUAGUCCUGUGCUCCCUGUUCUGCCAUUGUUAUCGGACUACGUGUGCAGCUCUGCCUGGUUUCCACAAUAAUCUUCCCCGUGAGGGUUGUACCUGCUGACAGCCUACAUUGAGGUCAUCCUUCUCCUGCCGUGACGUGACACUGUGGAAUACUGUGUCCAGUUUCUGGGAGCUGAAUCUCCUUAUUAUCCGCUCAUAUUUUGUGUCACUUUCUCAAAUCCAUGGAAAUACAACGAUCUGUCAAAUGAGAAUGAAUUUUGUUAUUGGAAAUAGCUAUAUUAUGUGUAAUUAAGCUUUAAAUUGCUCUGGAAAACCAAAUAGGUAGCAUCAAACACUCAGAUUUAUAAUGGGGAUAUAAAAAUAAUGUCCAUCUGUGUUUAACCACUUGCCAAAUUCAGGUUCAGGAGCUUAUGAGCACAAGGCAGGGAACAACUCAGUAUGGGCUGUCAACCCAUGGCAGGGCACACUCACACACCAUUCAUAUCUAUGGGCAAUUUGGUAACGCCAAUUACCCUUGGCAUGUUUUUGGACUGUGGGGGGAAACCAGCAUACCCAGAGGAAACCACACGAUGACAUGGGGAGAACAUGCAAACUCCACACACAGAGAUCCAUGGCAGAGAUUCAAACCAUGGUCCCAGAAGUGUUAACCACUGCAACACCAUGCCACCCCUACGAAUAUAACGUGUAUAACAUUUAUAGUAUAUAAUAAACUAGAGUGAGCUCAGUAAGUAUUUAGGCACAGAAAACUGUUAUUUUGUACUAUGCCUCCUAUUACCAACCUUAUUGUGAGACACUGGGGGGAAAGUAAGGACACUGGGUGAUGUUUUGUGUUGCAGUGGCAAAUGAUUAACCACCUCCGGGCCAACAGGUGACCUCAUUAACAAAAUAAAGAUGACUGUUAUUAA